GGCUGGGUAGCUCAGUUGGUACGAGCGAUCGCCUGAAAAGCGAUAGGUCGCCGGUUCGACCCGGCCCCAGCCACCA
rnacentral:tRNA from 1 species